GAUUAACGCUGGCGGCGUGCAUAACACAUGCAAGUCGAACGAUGAAACUUAAAUGAUUUCUUCGGACUGAACUCAAGUGGCUUAGUGGUGGACGGGUGAGUAACGCGUGCGUAACCUGGCUUAAACACGGGGAUAGCCGUUGGAUACUACGAAUAAUACCCUACGAAACUAUCCCUUCGCAUGACGCGAUAUUCAAAGUGUUAGCGGUGUAAGAUGGAGUUGCUUCUGAUUAGCUUGGUGGUGAGAAAAAAGCCCACCAAGGCAACGAUCAGUAGCCGGAUUGAGAGAGUGUACGACCACAUUCGGAGUGGGACACGGCCCAGACACCGGCGAGAGGCAGCAGUGGGGAAUUAUGCACAAUGGGGGGGACCCUGAGGCAGCGGCGCCGCGUAAUUUAGAAGUCGUGAGGGAUGUAAAAAAGUUUUGUAUAGGAAUAAAAUGACAGUACUAAACGAAUAAGGACCGGCUAAUUACGUG
rnacentral:rRNA from 1 species